UAGGUUGCGGGAGAAGCUAUUUUACCGAACAAGCGAAGCUGUCCCGGAAUUCCCGACUACUGUAGCUGGACUCUGAGCAGUGGAAGUGGUGAUGGAGAGCAAUCUGUACAUAGUGAUGUGAUCUUGAAGAUUCCUGUAAG